ACAACAUGCAGUCCAGGAACCGCCAUGGGCAUAACCGCAGUAUAUAAAUGAUGCUGACAACGGAUCAGGAUUUUUCGGGUUUCUGUGUCUCGCUGAUUUGCUCAGUGCCCGGGCUAGAGGAUUAGGACUCGGGAGUCACUGGCCGUAUGCUGGAGGCUGGAGCCAACGGGAGUGCGGCUCGCCUCGCUGCGGUUGUUGGCAGCGACUGAGAUAGCAGCCGCCUGAAGCGAUCUAUUUGAAGAAUUCAAAGAAUCUAUGGAAGAUGGCUCAGCUUGCUGUGAAGCAAAGAAACCAGGGAACUUCUCCAGAACCUCUGAAGUUGAUGUUAGGUCCAGCUAAUAUUUGUCCUCUAAAAAGAAAGUGGAAUUCUCUCUCAGUUAUACUAGUGCUCGAUUCUAGUAGCUACCCUAAAGAAUGUGGAGAAAAAGAGAUGAGUCUUUCUGAUUGAAUAGAAGUGGAUCAUUUCCAUUAGAACAGCUUCAAAGCUUCCCCCAACUUUUACAGAACAUCCAUUUCUUAGAGAUACUUAACUGCUGAUCAGUUGUUCUGUCAUUGGCAGCUGCCUUCUCAGAUGCGGGCUCAGUGCUAAACAACUCUCUGCUGCUUCACUACAUUAACUGUGUAACAGAUGAGCCAGUCUUGCUGAGGUCUUAUUAGUGGUUGAGUCAAACAUUACAAGAAGGCAGUAAGAAGAGAGACGGAUUUUGUUAAGGAAGCACUGCUGGAUGCCACCAAGACUCACUGGGUGCCUCUACUUUGAUGACUAUCUGUCUGUGAAUGUAUUUGGUACAAGGUGAAUAAUUAUGAACAUGGAAAAGAAUUUACCAACUUCCUGGAUACUAUCACCAGGGCAGAGUCCUUCUUACAAGAGGGGUUUCAUUCCUGUGAAGCAUUCCUGUUUAAGAGCCUUCCUUCUGGGAUGGCCUCUAUUGUUGGUCACAGAUCCUUCAGCUUGUGAGCUGGAUUCUUUUAAGUAGCUUCUCUGAGGUGAAACCACUUCUUUUUGAUCGUCUAGCACAGCUCUUCUUUUAUAUCAACGAUUUAUUUCAAGCAAAUACUAGCUGUGGGCUGCCUCUAAAAAUGCUGCAGAAGACACAUACCUGUGGCACCAGCUUGGUGAUACUGGUGUCUUCUCCAGGGGGAUCAAGCAGCUCUACCACUCGCUCUCCUUUUGGUGGAACAAAUGGUUUGUGAUCUUUGAAAAGCACGUGCUAGGACUCUGUGAACAACAUGUUAUGGACGUGCUCAAAUGAUUAUAUCGAUCAGUGGUGUAACCCUGGGAAUCAAGCCUUCCGUUAUGUCUGCGAGAGACUUGGAGUCCGUCAAAUCAUCACUGAGCGCAAAGCGAGGAUGCCAUGAUGAAAGCUGGCGUGACGCAUAGUAAAUCCAGCAGGGAUAUGGAGAGCCAUGUGUUCCUGAAGGCCAAGUCCUGGUCUCUCCUAGGGGUCUUUACCUAAGCCCCACAGAGCCCUGAGGCGUGGGCCAGAAGCAUCCCUGUCCCCUUUUGCUAAAUGAAGAAGGUGAUGCUUAUCUAGAAGAAUUCAUCCCAGUGGAGUAGAGGAGAAGGGUUUCCACCACAUGAGCUCUCUCCCUGGGCCAGCAACACACUGAGAGCCUGAUGUGACCACCUCCUUUCAUCUGUGAGUGCCCCUGGGACAGAACUGUUUUACUAGAAAUGAACAAAACACACAUGCACUUAUGUGCACGUGUGUAUGUGAGACAGAGCUGCAAGAGCACAGGGGUUGAGGUGGGUGGAGUAGGCUCUGUCUGUGCAUGCAUGUGAUAAGCUUUUUCUGUAAGAGCUUUAUCCAAUUCACCCUUUCAGGUUUACAUGUCAGUAGUCUCUGUGAUAUUCACAGAGUUGUGCAGCCAUCACCAAAAUCUAAGUUUUGAACUUUCAUUAAUAAAUAAAUGAAUAAACAGGUGCACCUUC